rnacentral:rRNA from 1 species
UACGUAGGGGGCAAGCGUUAUCCGGAUUUACUGGGUGUAAAGGGAGCGUAGGCGGUAAUGCAAGUCAGAAGUGAAAGCCCGGGGUUCAACUCCGGGACUGCUUUUGAAACUGUGUUGCUAGAUUGCAGGAGAGGUAAGUGGAAUUCCUAGUGUAGCGGUGAAAUGCGUAGAUAUUAGGAGGAACACCAGUGGCGAAGGCGGCUUACUGGACUGUAAAUGACGCUGAGGCUCGAAAGCGUGGGGAGCAAACAGG